rnacentral:lncRNA from 10 species
GAGACCCAUGGAAGAUUUUCAGGGGUUACAAAACUGCCCUCAUGGACCAGCUACCUGUUUUGAUAAAGUUCCACUGGAACCCAGCCAUGCCCAUCAAUUUGCAUAUUGCCUAUGGCUACUUUCCCGCUACAAAGGCAGAGUCGACUAUAGCAGUUGGGGCAAAAACCAUAUGGCCCGUAAGCCUAAAUUAAUUACUUUCUGGUUCUUUACAGGAAAAGCUUGCUGACUCCUGGUUUAGAUGAGGGGCUGGGACUUCCUUGGGGGAAGAGGAGAUGGCACAAGAUGAAGAAAUAAUGGGGUUUGCUUCUUUGGACCAAAUCCAAGACAUCUACUGUGCUGAAUUCUAUUUGUGUUUACAUCUUCUAAAGACCAGGAUUCCAAGGCCACAUGGAGCAGCACCACCACCUGCUGCAGGGCAAAGGACCCAGGCUCGCUUCCCAGCUGUGGGACUCUGGACAAGGUACCCAACUAGACGCCUAUCUGGACACAAUAGUCAACAGGAUGGAUACAGGGCGUUCUCUCCUGGAGAUGCCAGUCAGUUCAUGGAGUUGACUUGACUUGCCACAGGAGCAUGGAGGAUGGAUCACCUGCACCCUCCUCCCUCCCAUCCUCUUUGCCUCUUUAUGAGAUGCCUCUUUAUGGGAUAGCUCACAAGGUGAACAGCAACUAUCUAAUAAUCCAACUGGUGUCCCCUCUCCAAUAAGGGUUAUAACAAUCUCAUGUGGAUAUGAGAUCCUUACAGGGUAAGAAAUUUCCUCCAGUCUCAUUGUCAGUAGCCAUUUUUACUCCUGAAGCUAUGUACUUGGAGUGCCUGGACCAAGAUGGAGUAAACAAGCAAAUAGGUCCCUGAGUCCUGUGGGCACUCUGGUACUCCUAGCAGAGUGAAGGCUGUUCUGGAGCUAUUAGCAGCAUCACAAGCCACUGCUCACAACCUGGAAGGAGAAUUCCCAUACCCAACCACUGUGUGUCCCAGCGUGUGAUAUCCAUCCACAAGGAGUUCAUUCAAACUGGUCUGUUGAACAAUAAAAUAUCCCAUCAAACACAUUGUCACUGUAUAGCAACAUCCACCACAAACUGAAAUGCUCUCUGGCAACGACACGUGGUUCCAUCCUAACUUUUGAAAUGUAAGAAUGGGCACCACAGAAGAGGGUGGUACCAAGAGCCCAGCUGAGGGUCCUGCACCCCAUCAAGUCACUUCCCAAUCAGUCACCUGCUUACUUUGUGACUUUUCUGGGCCUCUGAUCCCAGUCUCAGUGAGUGCUGUCGACUAGAAUGCAAGCUCCACAAAGGCACAGAUUUUUGUCUGUUAUGUUUGCUGCUGUGUUCCCAGUGUCUAGAGCAGUAUAUGGCAUGCAGAAAGGCCUUGAAAAAUAUUUGACGAGUAGGCGAAUAAAUGGGAGCCCCUAAAAAGCAGUACCCUUGAGCCAGUACUUGCAAGCAGUACUUGGUGAGCAGUCAUAAAGAAUGUGUUAAGUGAAUGAAUACAUUUCCAAAGUUAAAAUGCCCAAACAAACCAAUCCCUUUGAGAGUGGUUGAGUCUCUUCUGUGUUCCUCUGAGUGGAUCAGGGCUUGUAGCAUCAUCCUAAGCAACAUUCCCUAAGUUUUCCUGCAAGGAGCCACAGUGGAGGAAGACUCCAGAUUACAUGACUAAUCUGGGAGGGAUAUUAAGAUGUUACCUGUGGGUCACCAGGACACAUUCUCAUCACCACUCCCCAGCCAAACACUUACAUACUAAUGCUCAUCUGUGGGGACUGAAGCCAUCUGGCAAAUAUUUAUCAAGGCUCUCUGUGCCUGGCAUUGUGCGGCUGCUCUCUCAGGAAACUGGUGGUAGGUGAGAAAGUGUGACUCUCCACAUAGCUCACCAUCUGGUGGAGGACUGCGAGGUUGCCAAGGAUAGAAGCCAGGACAUUGGUCAGGGGCAGUGCCAUCUGCCGACCCUCUGAGCUCAACGGAGAACACAUCAUUGUUUGCAAAUGGCCAGGGCCUUUCUGAGGCCACUUGGAAGUUCCUUCCCAAUGCCAGAGCUUAAGAAACAAUAAAAACAAAAUUUUCUAGAAUUAACAAUGAGAAGAAAGCAAUGAAACAAACUAUGAAAUUGAAUUAAGAACAGUGAAAAUUUUAUUUGCUUAAGUUUUUUUUAACUUUUCUUUAUUAACUUCGAUGAAAGUUUUCUUUCAAGUCCUUCUAGUCUUUAAAGUUCUCACUCAAUCUUUUCUCUGUGUUGGAGCAAAUUUUGCCUGCUAAUUUCCAAUAAGCACAGCCCUUAAAAAUGAACUGGCUUCAGCAUAUGGAUCUUAACACUCCACAUUUUUACAGGCAGCAGUGUAAUAUUGUUUUAAUAUUUAAUUUUGAGAUUUACAUAAUAUCUUUCCUCCAAAGAGCUCAAUAUAUUGCAAUAUCAUAAAAUUCCUUUUCAUAUUCAAAGAUUAUUCUUUAUGCAUGCAAAUACUAUAUUUAACCAAGGAAUAAUGCAAAUUAGGUGAUGUAUUCAGAGGAAUUGAUGGGCUAGGUAAUUCUUUUGUAAGAAAAUUAGUGUAUCUGAGUGAUUUUAACUGUCUAAGAACUUCAAAAGUGCCUUAAAAAUGGACAAACUAUAGGGGCUUGUAACUAUUAACAGAAAUAGUGCAGCAUUUUUAAAAGAAAAGUAAAUAAUGGGUUGUGUCUGUGUUGUGGGCAUGAUGGAUAGUAUUCCACAUGGAAGUGGCACGCAGGCCAUACAUGAACUGCAUGUAAUAUAAAUGUCAGAUAUAAAUUGUGCUGAUAAGAUCAUGCAAGUGAGGGGAAAAUUGUUGCUUCUUCAAAUACACAAUGAGGAAAGAUAGAGAGGCUCCUCUGAGCAUCAGAAUCAUCCAAUGGCAGGUACCUAGGUUCUGGGCUCCACUUCCUACCUCAUCAUUAGCUCACUGGGAUACAGACUUUGCUACUUUCGUUUCUGGUGCCUACCCCUCCCAGCACAGACUGGAGAAACCAAUAUCUGUUAUGUAUCUGAUACAGAUAACAUCAGUCCCAAACAAAGAAACUGUGAAGGCUUGGAAGGAAACAGUCUAGGGAGAAAAAAUACGGCAAAUUGCUCUCUAGCUGAAGACAUAUUCCCAGAAAUGAUGCUAAUCUCUCAGUCCAUAGCAUAGUUUACAGAGUGAUUUUCUAUCUGCUCUCUCAUUUGCUUGUCCCUAUAGUACUAGGAAGCAGGUAUCAUGACACCUGUUUUAUAGGCAAGAAAUGAGGGAUCUUGCCAGUUAAAUGAACUUGCAUGAUUCAUGUGAGGAGCAGAGAGGGGAAGCAACCCCAGGAAUACCCCACAGCACUCUGCCACCAUGAGCCCAGAGGUGAGGAAGAUGACUGCCCCGUGGUGGAAUGAGAAUGGAAAACAGAGCAUGCUUGGCAGUAAGACUUGGGUUAAUCAGAUUCACCCUCUGAAUCAGAGGUUACAAACCAUCGCCAACAGGCUAAAUCCAGAAUUGGAUUUCUUUGGCUCUCAAGUGCUUUAAAAUUUUCUAAUCAGUUGUCAACAUUUUAAAUCUGGAUUUUCAGCUUAUAAAAUCAGGCAGUGCUGGGCAUGCAACUCUUGCUGGAGCUGAACAAUGGCUGCCUCUAAAGUUCCCUGCAGUCCCCACCACUCUCUAUUGCCUUGUACCUGGCUCUGCUUUGCUCCUCUCCAUUACCUGCCUGGCCUUAGGGGUCUUUGAGUUUGUUCUCUGGCUUAGAUGGUCCCAAGCUCAUGUGCUGGUCUGAUUCAUCUUUUAUACCCCCAAGAUUUCCUCUGAGGUCUUCUUUUCCAACUUUGACACUCCGAGUCUAUUUGACAGAAGAGAGAAGUAAAGUUUGUCAUUCACUUAAUUCUCUCUGACAGCCAGAUGAUCCGGCCAUCAGUCUGAAUCUGGGGCCAGAUGCCAGAGAGUGACUGCAGGAGUUAGUGGUGAUAACAAUCUCUCUGCAGAUCACUUGGCCACUGGAACAGAGAGAGUUGCACCUGAUCUGGUCUAUUUUAAACUCAUGGCAGCUGUAUUCAGUGCAAGGAUGUAUCCCUGAAGACCUCACAUAAAUCUGAGCUUGCAUAAUUCAUGACCAAUCCUGACCAAAGAUGAUGGACAGUUUUUGACAGCUAAAAUGGCCUAGCAAUGUGGCAACAGCUUAGAGAGAGCUUACGACUUACACAGUCCACUAUAAUGUGAUUUUUCAUCAGUCUGAGGAUAAAAUGGCCACAAAACAUCUCACAGCCAAGAAAUGAUGUUUCUCAGAAAUAUCUGCAGCCUAGGGAGGUGCAAAUGAUGUUUCUUAGAAUCCUUUGUUGGCUGUGAGAUGCUGAGCAAAUUCAAAACUGCUCUGACCUAAGUUUCUUCAUCUGACCCACCUUCUCUGUAAAAAGAACAGAAACAAAAACAAAAACAAAACACUUGGUAGGGGUUGGCACAUUGGAGGUGCUCAAAGAUGUCAGUUCUCUGCCACUGCCUUUGGACUGGGUAAGGAUCCAGUCCUGAAACUCUCCAAGUGAUACCUGGUCCUUGAAUAGUCAUGACUAUAUACAUAAUUGGGGUCAUGAUGGGAGAAGAUGAAGGCUCUCUGAAUCUCAGAACUCAACAGACAAGCCUGUCUCUGAGUGAAAAACUGUAUCUACCAUGUGCCCAAUGACCAAAAAACAAAUGAUAGCAAAAAUCUCCAAGGUCUCUUCUUAGAUCACAGCUCUUGGAAUCAAGAAGAGCCUAUUGUUGGAGACUAUGAAAUGGGGAGCCCAGAGGUACUGUCCACUUUUAGGACAGAACACCACAAGGCAGACACAGACAAGGGACAUCCUGCUGAUCUCUUUCUAAUCCUAGAUUCUCCAAAUCCCUUUAAGUCUCUGCUUUCUUAUUAGAAAAAUAGGAACAAUAAUCCCCAAGUCAUUGUGUAAUUAUGAGGAUUAAAUGAGUCCACACAAUUCCAAAAUUCUUUGUGAACUCAAAAGAAACACAAACAUGAGGUGUUAACUAUAAUAAUUAUUACUCAUCUAUUUCUCAAUCAGGACCCACUCAAUAGUCCCCAGCCACUUCACAGUUUGGGCAGUUCCAGACAUAGAGUACGCAUUCAAUAAACACAGGUUGACUUAAUGAUUGAUCCCAGGACUCCUCUUGGUCAAAUUCUUUGCCUGCCAUCUAGCUACUCAUGACUCAAACAGUAGGACAGGUGGCCACAGGCACAGAGAGGGGUCAUACCAUACCAUGAAGCCAGGGGAGGAAGACUGAGCUAGAUCUGACCCAGUGUGAGCUAGAGUGGACCAGCUCAGGGGUAUUCUGGGAAGGUUAGACAUGUCAUGACCUGUUGGUAACACAUGGGUCCACCCACCUCAGCCCUUAAUGGAUCUGAGUCAUUAGAGUUUUUAUGAUGCCUACUUUUUAGUCUCUUGUCCACCUCUGGUAAAAUGCAUAGCUUCUGUUCAUGGUUCUAAACUGUUCUCACAGAAGUUCAGGUUUGAAUGUUUACUUUGAUGGUUCUCAUCUUUAAAAAAAUACUAUCUGUUGGUUGAAAAUAAUUUGUAUUUACACAUAGAUUCAUCAAAUCAGUGCGAUGGCACCCUGUUCCUCAGUCCACAGCCCAUAGAUUAGGAACCACUGGUCAACUUGAUAUUUGUUUUACAAUAACCAUGUGCUACCAAGAAGAAAUUGCAUCCUUCUCUCAGCGAGUGUAAACUCUCUGACACCAGAAUUCCAGAGUUACCAAACAGGGAAUCAUAGAUUGGAAGGUGAUAAUGGAGGCUAGGACUACAAAAUCGGGGAUGAUUAAGAUUAAAGGGCCUGCCAGAGGGGGAACAAAGCACAUGAGAAGUGUGCUCAUGGAGGUGCAAAAGGGUGAGGAUACAAAUGAAUAUUUUGCAUGUUGGUAAUGCAGGGCCCCUUGCAAGAGCCUUGGUCCCCCAGCUCCACUGCAGUCUAGGAAGGUGCAGAUGGCAAGACAAGCAGAUGGGCAGGUUCGGGAAUAGCAGGGUAAGAGAAGGGAGGGCAGAAAUAAAAGCAAACCGAUAUAAGUGGCAGGUUUGUUCGCACAUGCUUAGAGAGAGAGAAAAGACAGCCAAGCCCAGUGUAACAUGACAGCCUGGCAGGAUUGUCAUUCCCAAAAGCUGGGACACUAAAAUAUUUCAGCCAGUUUUCUGCCUAAACUCUUCAAGGGAAAUACUGCUAACAAAGGCUGCCCAUGUUACAUGCUUAACAUAAUGCAGAAAUUACCAUUCUCCUUUCUUUGGGUAAGACAAAAUGUCACAACCUUUGUCUCUACGGCACCAACACUGUGGUCACCAGCUGGAGGCUUCUACAUUUCCACUCUUAUUUUCUCACUACACACGUAUGCAUGUAAACACGUGACCAUACACAUACAUACAAACACACCACAUGAACACACACACACACACCCACACACAGCAGCAACACAGCCAUCUGGACAGACAUGCUCUCCUACGACACCUUUUUUCUUCUCAGUUCUGACAGCUUAAACUCAAGAUUCAUAUGCCAUCAAAGAUGCCUAAGAUGCCUGGUUUUAAAAGAAGCAGAAUGAGUCUGAGGGUGGGGAGGUGAGUAGAAAAGGAUGGAGUAGAAAAGAGGAGGUCAGGGAGGGGGAGAUACACAGAGGAAGAGAGAGCAGAGAUAGAUGCUUGGCUCCUGCUAUUCUACUAACAAGCUGUCCUUUUAGAAUUUGUUAAUUGAGAAAAAUCUAUAAUUCCAAAUAGCAUCACGGUCCACUGCCUAUGACCCCCAUUGCCUGUGCAUGUGAUGUUCACUUCCCCUCUGCAGCCUUGCACGGUAACCCCGGGAGAGAGAUUGCUCAUUUUUCUCUAACUCCCUUGGUAUUUACUGCAUGCAUAUAGCAUUUUACCUUGCAGCUUUGUGCUUUGUAUCUAUAUCCUCUAAAUUCUUCAGUUAAUGAGUUUCAUGGGAGGAACAAUAGUGUCCAAGUAUCACUGCAUCCUUCACUGUGUCUAAUCCACAGCGUGGCACACAGUACAUGCUAAAUGACUGUCUCUUAAUGAUGAACGAAUAAAUAAGUGCAUGAACGGACUCGUUAAAUUGAUAUAAAAAUAAACAGAUUCUUGCAAGAGCUGUGAAAAGUAAUAAAGAGAAAAGAUCAGAAGAGUGUAAGAUUCAGAAAUAAAGAGGAAGAAAAUGUGUUCUGAGCUAUGCAUCCCACAAGGAUGUGCUGGCUAUCAGGAGCGAUCUAUUGCCAUCUAUCUGAGGUCUCAACAGCAGCAUAUCAUUCAUCAGAGCAAGCUAUAAAGGAGAAUACACUUUUGAACUACAUAGAUUUAAUUGGAAAAUGAAGGUAAUAUUGAUUUUAUCAUAUGAUCUCUGGAAAAUUUCUGUCAUUGGGUUUCCAUAAAGCAUCAUUUGUCGUCCUGUUCUCAAAGUCUUUCAGUGCCUCCACUCACUCACCAUCUGUCUGUCCAUCCAUCUGUCCACCUACCUAGCCCUCUGUCCAUCUGUCCAUCCAUUUACACAAUCCUCUGUUUGUCCACUCACACACCUGUCUGUCCAUCUCUUCAUCCAUCUUUCCAACAGGAUUUGUUGAGCUCAGGCUGGAUGAAGAGCACUAGGUCCUAUUCUGGCUUGGAUAUACCUCUUUGCUUUUGUGCUGGGCACAAGAAAAUCCCCUAGUCUGCAGCUCAUUCUCAGAAGCGCAACACUACACCUGCCUGCUCUAUGUGAUCACAAAUGCCCAUCACCUGACACCUUCACUCCUGGGCAGAGGCCUGACAGUACACGGGCAGGAUGGGUGUGGCUGCAGCUGUGUCCCUGCCUAGAGACAAAGAGCCAGCCACACAUCCAAACAGGAGCACAGAAGCCUCCAGACUUACCGGCUUGGUUUGUGGUGAUGUUGACAGAGACGUGCUGUGGGGGGAAGGGACUCUUGCUGGAGACUCCAUUGAUGGCCUGGAUGUCAAAGGUGUAGG